rnacentral:sRNA from 1 species
UAAUAAAAACAUAAAAAGAAGCCCUGCGACAACAGGACUUCCCUUGUGGAAACCGUUUAAGACGGUAGCACUUCUUUAGUUAAUUAAU